CACAGGUUGUGGGGGGUGCACGCGUCCCUCCCUCCCUCCGUGCUCGAGAGACUGGCUCACCUCAUAUCCUCCGCCAGGACUCCUAAGGGCCCUGAUAUCCUGCAGGAGUGUAUAGGGGUGCCUCUUCUCCUCAUCUCUCUCUCCUCCUCCUUCUCCACUAUGAAGAAAGUUGUGAUGUGACGGUACACCAGCGGUACACAUGGCGGCCAGGAGCUGUGCGGUGGGCGGUGAUGGUGGGCGGAUAGCCUCUGCAGCAGCAGCAGCAGCAGCAGCAGCAGCGGUAGCAGCCGGCGCCAGGAUGCCACGGGUGUCGCUGCGGCGUGGCCUGCUGUACCUGUCGGCAGCCACCACCUGCUCCCUGCUGGUGGUGACGGUGCACCAGCCUGGGACCGCCUGGCUCAGCCCCGCGCCGCCGCCCUCCCAGCUCACACUGCCCCGCGCGCCGCACCUCGACCACCCCGUUCUGGAGCUGGACGACGCAGCGGAGGCGCGGCCCAGUGCGGACGGUGACGGCGACGCCGACGGAGAUGAGCAGAGCGUGGCGAGGGCCCUGCUGCCUAUGCCGCGCCCGCGCCCGCUACUCAACGUGACGCUGACCACGCUGCCGCCCGAGCAGCGCCCCUGGUACCUGUGGGGCGGCAGGCAGCGCCCUGAGGUGCCUGCCGACAGCGACCAGUGGACGCGCACGGCGUCGCUGUGGCCCGACGAGGACUCCGGCGACCGCAUCGUGGAGCAACUCAUGUUCCGCCCGCCGCUGCCGCCGCCCCUGGAGGACCACCCGGACCCUGCCGCGCCUGACCGCGCGCCGCCCACCUCCAAGAAGAUCCUCAUGUACAACGGCAUGAACUCGUGGGGCCUGAAGGCAGGGCGCGGCCAGUUCCUCAAGCUGCGGUGCCCCGUGGACACCUGCGUGCUGACGGGCAGCCGCUCCGAGCUGACCACUGCCGACGCCAUCCUGUUCAAGGACCACUUCAGCAUGCCGCCCCACGCCCGCGACCCUCGCCAGGUGUGGGUGAUGUUCAUGCUGGAGUGCCCGCUGCACACACAGCACUUCACCAAUAGGGACGUCUUCAACUGGACCGCCACCUACCGCCACGACUCUGACAUCGUGGCGCCCUACGAGAAGUGGGUGUACUACGACCCCGCCGUGAGGCAAAAGCCGCAGGAGGUGAGCUACGCCGCCAACAAGACCAAGCAGGUAGCGUGGUUCGUGUCCAACUGCGGCGCGCGUAACAACCGCCUGCAGUACGCUAAGGAGCUGGCAAAGUACAUCGGUGUGGACAUCUUCGGCGCCUGCGGCACCAAACGCUGCCCUCGCUCCAACUCCGCUCGCUGCUUCCAGAUGCUCAACAAGGACUACAAGUUCUACCUGGCCUUCGAGAACUCUAACUGCCGCGACUAUAUCACUGAAAAGUUCUUCGUCAACGGCCUCAGGGGACUUCCGAAACAAACAAGCCACCACAUCCUGCCAAUAGUGAUGGGGGCGCACCCUGACGACUACGCCCACCAGGCCCCUGAGAAGUCCUACAUUCACGUGGACGACUUUGACUCCCCCAAGGAUCUCGCUGACUACCUUCACCUGCUGGACCAGAAUGAUGACCUUUAUAAUGAGUACUUCAGGUGGAAGGGAACCGGUGAAUUCAUCAACACUUACUUCAUGUGUCGGCUGUGUGGUCUGCUGCACGACGAGGGGCACCAGCAGCACUAUGAGGACAUCAACCAUUGGUGGCGUGGUGGGGGCACCUGCAUCAGUGGGUCCUGGAGGAAGUAUGACAGGUUUAAGCAGGAGUCAGAGAAGAAGAAGAAGGCCCCAGGUAGCAGGUAGAGGGAGGGAGGGAAUUAAGGGAGUGACAAAGAGGUGCACAGGUUAUCAUACAAAGUCCUGGGUGUGUGUGUGUAUCUGUGCGUGUGAUGUCCUGAUCUCUUGAAUGCCGAUUGGGUGACGCGUUUUUUUUUUUACUGUUUGACGUGCACGGUUCUGGCGGUUUCCAAGGGGUGAGGGAGGGAGGGAGAUGGUGCAGAUACAGUCCAGUCAUGUAUAAAUCUUUACUUAGAAGGACUUAUGUGUGUGUGUGAGACUGUGCAUAAGUAAAUGUGUGUAAAGUGUGAAGUGUGUAGUCUGUAAUUGUUAAUCGAUAUCAGUGGUAUUUAUUCUUGUUCAUCUUUGACCAGAAAAGAUUUACAGGGUAACUCUGCUAAGCUUCCCAGAGCAUGAGAGUGUGUGUGUGUGUGUGUUGUGUGUGUCAGUGUCUCUCAUGCAUAUAGUACUGACUCAGAUAUGACAGUGAAGUGAAGUGUGGCAUGGCCUGUGGUGUGUGUGGCAGUGUGGCCCAGUGGUGCUUCUAAGAUGUCAUAAGUGGCACACAACCAAGGCACCACUUGAAGGAGACACCAUUGGGUCAACACAGUAAGUUAUCUAAGGAAACAGGCAUCAGAUUCUUGGCUUGUGGAGAGCAUAAAGUGCCAAUAGAUCCUGUAAUACUAUGUUGUUGUGUUGCGUCUCUCAAGCCAGAAUGUUGCCUACUAGAUACCUCUUAGAUGUGACUGGGCAAUCGUAACCUAACAUCAGCACCUGGUGUGAUCGCGACAAUAGAAACAAUUGUAUAUUUUGACGAGUAUAGACACAGAAGUCACUGGAUAUUGUACUUUUACUUAGGGCAACUGUACUGUAUAUACCGUUGCACACAAACUUAAAAGAAUGCCGACGGAAUAUUUUUAUCCUUGGCGUACACGUCUAGAAGCACAAAGCAGUAUUCUCGAGUGCUGCAUCAGUCAUCCAUCACUUGUACCCCAGUGUGUGUGUGUCUGCCAGGAAUGUGUAGCCUUUAACAUUACACCAAAGACCUUGUACUAUAUAAUUAACCUACGCCAGAGCAUUUUCUAUACUCUUGGUGAUCUUGUUGAUGGCUGUUUUGUACCAGAGAUGCCCAUGUGGUGAAGGGUACUGGUUUCCACGAGGUGUGAGGACUGUGAGGCGUGUAACAAAGCAUAACUAUUAAUGGUGCUGAUUGCUGACUGACUGACUGACUGACUGGCUGACUGGCUGGCUGGUGUGUGGAAACAAGGAGGGGCAUUCAGCUGUCAUUCAUUCGUAGCUCUUUUUACCUCCUGCUGGUGGCAAUUCUCCCAUUACUUUAUAGGAGGAUGUGGUCUUAUGAAGCCAAAUUGAUACAGAAUAAUGCUGCAAAUUACUCAGUCAUUAAUUAUUUUUUGUCAGUGGUAUGAAUCUUUUGAAAUUUAAACUCAAAAACUUGCACCAGAUCAUAUCAUAUCAAACUUGACCUGCAAAAAAACAAUAUGAUUUGAACUAAACUAUCAUUCACUCUUACCAGCAGUGUUGUACCUCUUUCGAAAUCACACUCAGAGCUCCACAGUAACACAUAACUGAGCUUAGUGAGAUGCCACAGCAGUGAAAAGGGUUAGCGGAAAACCAGGAUGAUCAACUUGGAUGUGAAAGUAAGAGUGUUGAAUUUAACUAGUAUGUAUAUGAUUAGAGUGAUAUUAUGAGCUAAAAUGGAGAAGAGUAUUAAUGAAUGAGUUUCUGAUGGAAGUGUUGACAUCUAGAGAGGUGUUUGUGUGUCUUUAAUAUGGGAAUCUGUUUUGGAGUCUUGGAAGUGUUGAAAUUUAUAGUAUAUACUUUUAACAAGAGGAAAAUUUGUGGUAAAACUGAGAGUAAUGUUACUGAAUACUGGAUGAAGUGUUGAAAGCUGGAGAGGUGUUGGUUUGUGAGUUUUAUAACAUUAUGAGGAGAAACAUUGAAAUUUGUACUAUGUGGUGAUGAAGACUGACAUUUGGGGGCUAAAACUGAGAGGAAUGUUAAUGAAUGAGUGUCUGAUGAAAUGUUAAGAAUCUGGAGAAGUGUAAAUUUGUGAGUCUUCAAUAUUAUGACAAGCUGUUUUGGCAUCUUUUUGAAUUAGUGUAGCAAAACAAAACAUCAUGAAUUCCUACAUAUGUGUGUGUGUCUCUUUCUCUCCCCAGCAGGUGGAGUGAGUCAUAUCCCAAUGCCUGUGAAUUAUAAUGCUGUAGUGUUAUCAGUGUUAGCAAUGUUUCUGCCAUUAUCACGUUUUGUUUUGGGAAUGUGUGAGGCAGAGAAGAAACAAUAGGAGACUUGUCAGUUUUUGAGUGAGUGAGUUUGUGAGUGUUUGAGAAGGUGUAUGUGUGUGUGUAUGUGUCUGUGUGUGUGUUAAGCUCUUUACGUCCCAGUUUUUAAUGUUGAAUUGUAUAUUUUUUAUUCAUGUAUUUUUGUCUGCAGGCACGUAUCACUUCCUGUCAUAAUAUGUGUGUGUGUGUGUGUGUUGAUGCUCAUUUUAUCCCGGUUUUGAUACCAAAUUACGUAUAUAUAUUUUUUUUAUCAAUUUCUUUCUUUAUAUAUUUAUUUGAGUAUAUUCUUUGAGACACAUUCCACUUCCAUUGUCAAUGCAUUCCACUGAUCAGUGUAUUGCUUCAUUUAGAUUGAACACUGUAUUGCUGCAAAUUCUUACCUACUCUCUUGGUAAGCUGCUGUAACUUCUGUAUUUCCUUGGUGAUGUAAACCUUCUGUAUCCAUCCUUUCUUUUGUGUAGCCUCUGUAGCCCAUGUUCCUUAAUCAUACCUCCUGUGUGUGUGUGUGUGUGUGUGUGUGUGUGUGUGUGUGUGUGUGUGUGUGUGUGUGUGUGUGUGUGUGUGUGUGUGUGUGUGUGUGUGUGUGUGUGUGUGUGUGUGUGUGUGUGUGUGUGUGUGUGUGUGAAGGGGCUGCCAUGAGGAGAUAUGACAACUUUUUGCAGUUUCCCUCUUUUUUUUUUUUUUAUAUCUUUGUUUUAAUAUGUAUGUGUUUGUGUGUGUGUGUGUGUGUGUGUGUGUGUGUGUGUGUGUGUGUGUGUGUGUGUGUGUGUGUGUGUGUGCAUGUGACCUUUGUGAACCAGCCAGCAGACCUCCACUGGCAGAAUAAUCAACAGAAGUGUCAAGGUUACUUUACUGCUGGAUCUUCAUUAUUAUUACCAUUAACUUAUUUGUACACACACAGAGUUACUACAGGUGUACUACCACUAUGUACGUACUAUUACCAUUCGUGCAUCGUCUGUACAUGUUGUGAAAGUAGUUGUUAAGGAUAUUUCUGUUUGUACAUUGUUUUUUCCUUUUUCUUUUCUUUUUAUAUUGAGUUUAGGUUUUUUUUUUAUUAUUGUGAUAUCUUUCAAUGCUGUUUACUGUGUUGUGUUCUUUGGGGUGUUUGUUCUUAAGUUAUUUGUGUGUGUGUGUGUGUGUGUGUGUGUGUGUGUGUGUGUGUGUGUGUGUGUGUGUGUGUGUGUGUGUUCCUUCAGGCAGGGGCAGGAGCAGAAGAAAUGUCAUAGAAAAGAAAACUACAAAAAUUUAUAUAAACUUGUCACCCACCCCCCAAAAAAUUAAAUAAAUAAAGAGAAAAGAAAAUAGAAAAAAGUAUAGAAAUUAAAACUACACAAGAAAAGUUAAUGAAUGAAGUAAAAAAAAAAAGAAGAAAAAAGUGAAAAUAUAUGAGUUAAAACAACACAUAUCUGAAAUUCCAUUCGUUACAUUACAGUUAAGUUGUUGUAUUAAAAUGUGAUAUACGUAUUUUAGCUCUACUUUAGUUCAGGUAAUGAAGAACAGUAUAAAGUGUCAUUCCAUUGAGUGAGACUGAGAAGAGACAUUAACCCCUUCAGUACUGGGACACAUUUUUACUUUAAGAUUUGUGUACAAUUUGACCAUUUUAUUCUCGUUAGGAAGGGUCUAUGGAGGUCAGAAGGUUAAUGGCCUGAGUCUUAAAUCCCCCUUAUAAGUUUCUCAAGCUGCAUCAAACUACCAAAUAAUAUCCAGAAUUUUUUACCUUGAUUUUUUUGUACAAUUAGACCAUUUUAUUGACAUUAGGAAGGGGUCUAUGAAGUGCAGAAGAUUAAUGACCUGAAUCUUCACUAUAUUAAUCCUCCCUAUGUUUCUGAAGCUGUAUAAAACCACCAAACAGUAACCAGAAUUUUAUACCUUGAUUUUUGGGCAAUUAGACCACUUUAUUGACAUUAAGAAAGGUCUAUGGAGGUCAGGAGAUUAAUGACCUAAGUCUUCACUAUAUUGAUCCUCCCUAUAAGUUUCUGAAGCUGUAUUAAACCACCAAAAUAGUACACUAGUUUGAAUUUGGAAAUGUGUCCUGGUACUGAAUGGGUUAAUGUUGUAUCUUUCUCUCCUGAUGUAAUGGAAGUGAUCAAGUGUUGCUGAAAUAGACACAACAUUAUUUUGUUUCUCCUUUUUGCCCUGUUCCUCCUAAUUUGCUUCCAUAGUUCCUCAUUAAGUAUUGUGGCCGGCAGUUAUGUGUGCUGUGUAUCAUGUUCGUCUGUAUGUCUGUUGCUGAGAAAGUUGGCAUUGACUAUUGAAGAAAAGUUCCUUGGAUUUGUUGAGGUGAAGAGAGGGAUACCUGUUUUCUCUCUCUCUCUCUCUCUCUCUCUCUCUCUCUCUCUCUCUCUCUCUCUCUCUCUCUCUCUCUCUCUCUCUCUCUCUCUCUCUCUCUCUCUCUCUCUCUCUCUCUCUCUCUCUCUCUCUCUCUCUCUCUCUCUGUUCUACUUCAUUUCUAUGUGUUUUAAUUCUAAUUAUCAAUCUGUUGGAAUGUCUGCCUAUCUUUCUGUCUGUCUGUCUGUCUAUCUAUCUAUCUAUCUAUCUAUCUAUCUAUAAGUAUCAAUUCAAUUCAAUAUAUAAUGAUACUGAAAGAUUUUGUGUACCUGCUCUCUCUCUCUCUCUCUCUCUCUCUCUCUCUCUCUCUCUCUCUCUCUCUCUCUCUCUCUCUCUCUCUCUCUCUCUCUCUCUCUCUCUCUCUCUCUCUCUCUCUCUCUCUCUCUCUCUCUCUCUCUCUCUCUCUCUCUCUCUCUCUCCCUUGAUAAACCACUCAAGUCCUCAGCUAAGAUACACACUGGAGACAAGAGUGCACACAAUGAUGGAGAUGUGAUACGCUACAAUGCACCAACCAUUCCAUAGCAUUUAAGGCAACACUGGCCUCAAGAUUAAUGGCAUUUUUUAUUUCCUAUUACAACAGCAGAGUCUCACAUCCUACUGCUUAUCAGGACAACAAAAAUAGAGAGUUAUCUUGUAAUGUUUGAAUAUCUAAUCUUUAACAGGCUCUUGUGGAUGUUUUCUUUUUGUUUUUUCAAGGGUGUUGAUAUGAUUUUAGUGAUAUUUUGAUGAGGAUUCCACACAUAUAUCUUUGAAUGGGUCCAGUGGGUGUUGUUAUGGUUUUUAAGAGUGUCUGUGAUUCUAGUUUUUUUUUUUUUUUUAUAUAUAAGGAUUUCAUGUCUAAUAAGCUCCAGAUGUUAUUUGAGUUUUUUUAAGAGUGUUUGAUUCUAGUUUUGGUUUUAUAAGGAUUCCAUGUCUCUAAUAAGCUCCAGUGGAUAUUACUUGAGAUUUUUAAGAGUGUGUUUGUGAUUCUAGUUUUAUUUUUUUAGUGAUCCAUAUCUCUGACAGGCUCUAAUGAAUGUUACUUGUGUUUGAGAGUGUUUUUUUUGUGAUUGUAGUGUUAAUUUGACGAGAAUUCUAUGCUAUGAACUGGAAAGAAAUAUCCAUGAGAGUCUGAAUAAUGAUCUUUUUGUUUUUUUGAGAUUAUCCUCUACAAACUGUGAAGUGUUGAGUGGUGCAAGCCAUUAAUUGUUGUGAGCCUGUGAGAUGUGUGGGAUGUAAGACAAUGCUGUGUUAUUACUAUUUUUAUAGAGUAACAUGACAAAUAUUGUGUAUAUAUUUUUGGGUACUGUAAAGAUUUAAUUGAUGGAGUGAAAAGUAUGUAUAAAUAGGUACUGUAUAUGCUGCAGCUCUUGAAAUGAAAAAAGUGCAGGGCAUUUGUAUACAUUCACAUGGGAAAUGUAUAUGACUGAAUGAGUGAAUAGGUGGCAAACAUUGAUUGUACAUUGACUCGCCUGGAAAACUACAAAUUGGGUGACCAAAUAAGUGGUGGACAUUUUUCUUUUACAUUCAUUUGACUACUAAAAAUUGGAGAAUGGAUAAAUGAAAUGAAUAGAAGUGACCAUUUAAUCAACUGAAAAAGAAAAUCUGGUUAAUAUAUAAUAGAAAUGAGAAAAAAAGAAUCUGCUUAAUAUAUAAUACAGAAUGGAUAAAUAGAGGUGAACAUUUAAUCAACUGAAAAAAAAAUCUGGUUAAUAUAUAAUAGAAAUGAAUGGCUGGGAGAAAAGGAUACCAAACAUUACUGUACAUUAUUGAACCACCUGGA
rnacentral:misc_RNA from 1 species